AGCAUGGACAAACUUUCUGCCCGUUGGGGCAUAAUUUCUGUUUUUCGUCCUUGUCCGUGGAGAAGCCGUCUUCCUCCUCUUGCAGAAGCUCUCCGCAUGCAGCUGCCCAUUCUCGUAUCGCACGUCUGCAUCAACUCCUCUUCCACGUCUCUGUCGAGUUAUGACUUGUGACCUAAUUUUGGUGAUGGCUGGUCAAAUUUGUCGUGGGAAAGGGAAGGCUCAAUGAGGCAGCACAUUGUUGUAGACAGGCUUUAGCAGUCGCUGUCUGUCCACAAUGGAGAAAAUCGAGGGCGGCGACGAUCGCAUCAAGAGGAUCUCCACGUUGAUCCGUGUGAUCCCAAAUUUCCCCAAGUCCGGCAGCCGCCAUCUACCACUGGUUGUCGGCAGACAGCGAGUCACCUGCAACAGUCAUUCCCUGAGAUGCGCAUCGAAGC